UACGAAGGGGGCUAGCGUUGCUCGGAAUUACUGGGCGUAAAGGGAGCGUAGGCGGACAGUUUAGUCAGAGGUGAAAGCCCAGGGCUCAACCUUGGAAUUGCCUUUGAUACUGACUGUCUUGAGUACGGGAGAGGUGUGUGGAACUCCGAGUGUAGAGGUGAAAUUCGUAGAUAUUCGGAAGAACACCAGUGGCGAAGGCGGCUCACUGGCCCGGUACUGACGCUGAGGUGCGAAAGCGUGGGGAGCAAACAGG
rnacentral:rRNA from 1 species